AACGAACGCUGGCGGCAGGCUUAACACAUGCAAGUCGAGCGCCCCGCAAGGGGAGCGGCAGACGGGUGAGUAACGCGUGGGAAUCUUCCCAUCUCUACGGAAUAACGCAUGGAAACGUGUGCUAAUACCGUAUACGUCCUUCGGGAGAAAGAUUUAUCGGAGAUGGAAGAGCCCGCGUUGGAUUAGCUAGUUGGUGGGGUAAAGGCCUACCAAGGCGACGAGCCAUAGCUGGUCUGAGAGGAUGAUCAGCCACACUGGGACUGAGACACGGCCCAGACUCCUACGGGAGGCAGCAGUGGGGAAUAUUGGACAAUGGGCGCAAGCCUGAUCCAGCCAUGCCGCGUGAGUGAUGAAGGCCCUAGGGUUGUAAAGCUCUUUCACCGGUGAAGAUAAUGACGGUAACCGGAGAAGAAGCCCCGGCUAACUUCGUGCCAGCCGCCGCGGUAAAAC
rnacentral:rRNA from 1 species